rnacentral:rRNA from 1 species
ACGAACGCUGGCGGCCUGCCUAACCCCUGCAAGUCGCACGAGAUCUUCGGGUCUAGUGGCGCACGGGUGCGUAACGCGUGGGAACCUGCCCUUAGGUUCGGAAUAACUCCCCGAAAGGGGUGCUAAUACCGGAUAAUGUCUUCGGACCAAAGAUUUAUCGCCUUUGGAUGGGCCCGCGUUGGAUUAGCUAGUUGGUAGGGUAAAAGCCUACCAAGGCGACGAUCCAUAGCUGGUCUGAGAGGAUGAUCAGCCACACUGGGACUGAGACACGGCCCAGACUCCUACGGGGAGGAGCAGUGGGGAAUAUUGGGCGAUGGGCGAAAGCCUGAUCCAGCAAUGCCGCGUGAGUGAUGAAGGCCUUAGGGUUGUAAAGCUCUUUUACCCGGGAUGAUAAUGACAGUACCGGGAGAAUAAGCUCCGGCUAACUCCGUG